rnacentral:lncRNA from 1 species
UAACAAGUUAUAUCAAUUGUGGUACAUAUUAAUUAAAAAGUGUGUUUCACACCUAAGUAGCUGUUAUUCCUUUUCCAUCUUGUUCAGAUCUGAUAAACUCAGACCUGGGUGUUUGAGCCUCUGAGAACCCACGUGACCGAGAGAAUAAGUUUCCAGUUACACUGUCCCUUUGGAAUAAGCGACUAAAUGUGGUGUCGUAAGGCAAAGCAGCAGGAAAGGAUGAAAUCUACACACAGCACCGUGGAACAGGCAUGAAAACCUCCAUAUCGGCGAAAAGCACGUGGUGCUGGGAGGGUGGUGCUACCCAAGAAAAAGAAGAUCACGGGACCGGAAGUGUCUUAUGAAGAGCCCUAAAAUGAUAGGAACAGUUUCCGGAAGAGGAAUGUGGUACUGUAAGUUUAAUCCUUUGGUGAACUUAUUGAUCAGAUACUUUGAUAGUACUUAACAUGUGUCAGGUGCUGUUCUAAGCUCUUAAAAAUAUUAACCUUAAUCAUUACAACAAACCUGUGAGGUAGGUGUUAUUAUUAUUCCCAUUUUCCAGCUGAGGAAAUUGAAGAACAGAGAGGUAAGGUAACUUGCCCAAGGUCACACAGCUCUAACUGAUAGAUCCAGGAAAGGAAUCAAUGCCAUCUGGGUGCUUACCCAACGCCUGUGGCUUUUUCCCAGUGAAGUGCCAGGUUUGGUGGACAGGAGGCGGGGUUGGUUAUAAUCGGGAGGGGCAGUCCUUUUAGAAUGGGACUUGAUGAUCUUUCCCCCUGAUGCUCCAUUGUUUGGAGAAGGAGAGAAGAAAGUGACAGAAUGUCUUCUCCCCACCCUCCUCUGACUGACUCUACCCCGCCUCCUCAUUGUCUCCUCCUCCCUCCUUGGCUGGGGGUUCAGCUAUUUGAUGCCAAGGUGUAAAUACUUAUAUCAGAAAUAUCUCAGGAGUUCUCCAGGAAGAAAACUGGAGCAAGAAUUCUGACAAUUGGAUGCUAGCAUUUCCUCUGCCUCUAACCAGCUGUGUGACCUUUGGAAAAUCAGAACCUCUCUGGACUCGUGACUGCUCAUCUGUAAAGAGAAGAGAAUAAUGCUAAACUUCCAGAGUUCAGAUACUCCAUGAUUCUAUGAUAUAAACAAACCAAAUAUUUUAGCAAAUGUUCCUAAAAUGUUGAUAAAACAACUUAAAUUGACUGUGUUAAUUUCAAUUCCAUGCAUUUCAAAAACAAGAUCUUCCCUCGUUUUUGUUUUCACUCUUGUUUUUUUGUUUAUAUAAAUGUUCUUACUUGUUA